GCUUCUCUUCAGCAUGACGUGCUGCGAUGGAGCUGCUGCUGAGCGUGUCAACUUACAGUGUGUGUGUGUCUUCUGCGACUGUCUCUCGACAUCCAUCAUGUGUCUAUAGAAGUCCACCCUCCUGCUCACCCAUCAACAUGCCAACAGACAGCCGCGCAAUCUGUGGAUGCCACUUCCUUUGAUAUGGGAAUUUCCUGCCCGUCCUUUCCAAAAUGAGAGGUAAUGAAGGAUGGGACUUUGGGCUCCGAGGCCACGACCCUUGUAAUCCCACAGCAAGGCUCCUUGGGAUAUGUAGGCGCCUCCGGACUCAGGGACACCGGGGGGUCUCCCUCAUCGGGAACGAUGGCAAGUGAGUGUGUGAAAGAAAAAGAGCAAAAAAAAAAAGGGG